AAUGGAGCGCUAUAUGCGUAACCAACCUUGCAAUUGCAUGCCAACUUUUACCGGUUGAUAUGUAAAUUGUGUAAACCCUUUGUUGAAACUUCUUAUCUUGCUUCGGCAGCACUUUUGCCACUUAAUUGUAGCAGAAGGUAAGGCUGUCAGAAGACUAUUACAAAACUAGUUGAUGAAAUGUCAUGCUGUCUGAUACUCUUUAGUAUUUGAGAAAUCAAAUCACUGUUA
rnacentral:misc_RNA from 1 species